rnacentral:rRNA from 1 species
UGGGGAAUCUUCCGCAAUGGACGAAAGUCUGACGGAGCAACGCCGCGUGAGUGAAGAAGGCCUUCGGGUCGUAAAGCUCUGUUGUCAGGGAAGAAAGGUACUUUUGUGAAUAAUGGGAGUAAAUGACGGUACCUGACGAGGAAGCCACGGCUAACUACGUGCCAGCAGCCGCGGUAAUACGUAGGUGGCAAGCGUUGUCCGGAAUUAUUGGGUUUAAAGGGUGCGUAGGCGGCUUAUUAAGUUAGAGGUGAAAGACUAAGGCUCAACCUUGGAAUUGCCUCUGAUACUGGUAAGCUAGAGUUCAGAUGAAGAAGGCGGAAUGUGUGGUGUAGCGGUGAAAUGCAUAGAUAUCACACAGAACACCGAUUGCGAAGGCAGCUUUCUAAACUGCGACUGACGCUGAUGCACGAAAGCGUGGGGAUCAAACA